rnacentral:rRNA from 1 species
ACGCUGGCGGCGUGCUUAACACAUGCAAGUCGAACGGUGAAGGGGCCUGCUUUUGUGGGUCCUGGAUGAGUGGCGAACGGGUGAGUAACACGUGAGUAACCUGCCCCCUUCUUCUGGAUAACCGCAUGAAAGUGUGGCUAAUACGGGAUAUUCUGGGUCUGUCGCAUGGUGGGCCUGGGAAAGAUUGCGCUUUUUUUGGUGUUUUUGGUGGGGGAUGGGCUCGCGGCCUAUCAGCUUGUUGGUGGGGUGAUGGCCUACCAAGGCGGUGACGGGUAGCCGGCCUGAGAGGGUGGACGGUCACACUGGGACUGAGACACGGCCCAGACUCCUACGGGAGGCAGCAGUGGGGAAUAUUGCACAAUGGGCGCAAGCCUGAUGCAGCGACGCCGCGUGAGGGAUGGAGGCCUUCGGGUUGUGAACCUCUUUCGCCAGUGAAGCAGGCCUGCCUCGUUUGUGGGUGGGUUGACGGUAGCUGGAUAAGAAGCGCCGGCUAACUACGUGCCAGCAGCCGCGGUAAUACGUAGGGCGCGAGCGUUGUCCGGAAUUAUUGGGCGUAAAGAGCUCGUAGGCGGCUGGUCGCGUCUGUCGUGAAAUCCUCUGGCUUAACUGGGGGCUUGCGGUGGGUACGGGCCGGCUUGAGUGCGGUAGGGGAGACUGGAACUCCUGGUGUAGCGGUGGAAUGCGCAGAUAUCAGGAAGAACACCGGUGGCGAAGGCGGGUCUCUGGGCCGUUACUGACGCUGAGGAGCGAAAGCGUGGGGAGCGAACAGGAUUAGAUACCCUGGUAGUCCACGCCGUAAACGUUGGGCACUAGGUGUGGGGGGCCUUUUCCGGGUCUUCCGCGCCGUAGCUAACGCAUUAAGUGCCCCGCCUGGGGAGUACGGCCGCAAGGCUAAAACUCAAAGGAAUUG